rnacentral:rRNA from 1 species
UACGAAGGGGGCUAGCGUUGCUCGGAAUCACUGGGCGUAAAGGGCGCGUAGGCGGACAUUUAAGUCAGGGGUGAAAGCCCGGGGCUCAACCCUGGAAUGGCCUUUGAUACUGGGUGUCUCGAGUCUGGUAGAGGUUGGUGGAACUGCGAGUGUAGAGGUGAAAUUCGUAGAUAUUCGCAAGAACACCGGUGGCGAAGGCGGCCAACUGGACCAGCACUGACGCUGAGGCGCGAAAGCGUGGGGAGCAAACAGG